GUUGAACGCUGGCGGCAUGCUUUACACAUGCAAGUCGAGCGGUAACAGGCCUUCGGGUGCUGACGAGUGGCGAACGGGUGAGUAAUGCAUCGGAACGUACCCAGAGGUGGGGGAUAACGCAGCGAAAGCUGUGCUAAUACCGCAUGUGAUCUGAGGAUGAAAGCGGGGGACCGAGCAGCAAUGUUUGGCCUCGCGCCUUUGGAGCGGCCGAUGUCGGAUUAGCUAGUUGGUGGGGUAAAGGGCUACCAAGGCGACGAUCCGUAGCUGGUCUGAGAGGACGACCAGCCACACUGGGACUGAGACACGGCCCAGACUCCUACGGGAGGCAGCAGUGGGGAAUUUUGGACAAUGGGCGCAAGCCUGAUCCAGCAAUGCCGCGUGCGGGAAGAAGGCCUUCGGGUUGUAAACCGCUUUUGGCAGGAACGAAACGGUGUCCGCUAAUACCGGGCGCUAAUGACGGUACCUGCAGAAUAAGCACCGGCUAACUACGUG
rnacentral:rRNA from 1 species